GGCUGGAGGUGGCUGUACACGUCAUUGGGCUGGUUGUCGCCUCGGGGCUGUUUGCCUCUGGGGGAGCAAGGAAGGGAAUGAAGUUGGGGGCAAGGUGGAAAGAUAGGUAAGGUAGUUAAGGUAAGGUAAGGUAAGGAAAGGAAAGGUAAGGUAAGGUAAGGUAAGGUAAGGUAAGGUAAGGUAAGGUAAGGUAAGGUAAGGAAAAGUAAGGUAAGGAAAGGAAAGGAAAGGAAAGGUAAGGUAAGGUAAGGUAAAGUUAAGUAAAGAGCAAGAUGAAAAAAAAAAAACAGGAAGAAUAGGAGAAAAAAAAACAAGGAGACGAAGGAAAACAAAGAAAUGAAAAAGGAAAACAAAUGAAAAAACAAAAACAAGAGUAAUAAGAAAAAAAAGUAAACAGAUCACAAAAAAACAAAACAAAACAAUAUAAAAAAACAGAAGAAUAAAAGGA